rnacentral:misc_RNA from 1 species
GAUGAAGAACGCAGCGAAAUGCGAUAAGUAGUGUGAAUUGCAGAAUUCAGUGAAUCAUCGAAUCUUUGAACGCACAUUGCGCCCCUUGGUAUUCCAUGGGGCAUGCCUGUUCGAGCGUCAUCUACACCCUCAAGCUCUGCUUGGUGUUGGGCGUCUGUCCCGCCUUUGCGCGUGGACUCGCCCCAAAUUCACUGGCAGCGGUCCUUGCCUCCUCUCGCGCAGCACAUUUGCGCUUCUCGAGGUGCGCGGGCCGCGUCCACGAAGCAACUAUUACCGUCUUUGACCUCGGAUCAGGUAGGGAUACCCGCUGAACUUAAGCAUAUCAAUAAGCGGAGGA